GACAGAGGGGGCAAGCGUUGCUCGGAAUCACUGGGCGUAAAGGGCGCGUAGGCGGGAUGGCAAGUCAGUCGUGAAAUCUCUCGGCUCAACCGAGAAACGUCGGCUGAUACUGCCGUUCUUGAGGGAUGCAGAGGAGACUGGAAUUCCCGGUGUAGCGGUGAAAUGUGUAGAGAUCGGGAGGAACACCGGUGGCGAAGGCGGUUCUCUGGGCAUUACCUGACGCUGAGGAGCGAAAGCCAGGGGAGCAAACGGG
rnacentral:rRNA from 1 species